GGGGGGGGGGGGGGGCGGGGCGAAUGCAUGCGAGUCGAGCGAACAGACGAGGAGCUUGCUCCUCUGACGUUAGCGGCGGACGGGUGAGUAACACGUGGAUAACCUACCUAUAAGACUGGGAUAACUUCGGGAAACCGGAGCUAAUACCGGAUAAUAUAUUGAACCGCAUGGUUCAAUAGUGAAAGCCGGUUUUGCUGUCACUUAUAGAUGGAUCCGCGCCGCAUUAGCGAGUUUGUAAGGUAACGGCUUACCAAGGCAACGAUGCGUAGCCGACCUGAGGGGGUGAUCGGCCACACUGGAACUGAGACACGGUCCAGACUCCUACGGGAGGCAGAAGUAGGGAAUCUUCCGCAAUGGGCGAAAGCCUGACGGAGCAACGCCGCGUGAGUGAUGAAGGUCUUCGGAUCGUAAAACUCUGUUAUUAGGGAAGAACAAAUGUGUAAGUAACUAUGCACGUCUUGACGGUACCUAAUCAGAAAGCCACGGCUAACUACGUG
rnacentral:rRNA from 1 species